CUCCUACGGGGGGCAGCAGUGGGGAAUUUUGGACAAUGGGGGCAACCCUGAUCCAGCAAUGCCGCGUGUGUGAAGAAGGCCUUCGGGUUGUAAAGCACUUUUGUCCGGAAAGAAAUCCCCUGCUCUAAUACAGCGGGGGGAUGACGGUACCGGAAGAAUAAGCACCGGCUAACUACGUGCCAGCAGCCGCGGUAAUACGUAGGGUGCGAGCGUUAAUCGGAAUUACUGGGCGUAAAGCGUGCGCAGGCGGUUUUGUAAGACAGGCGUGAAAUCCCCGAGCUCAACUUGGGAAUGGCGCUUGUGACUGCAAGGCUAGAGUAUGUCAGAGGGGGGUAGAAUUCCACGUGUAGCAGUGAAAUGCGUAGAGAUGUGGAGGAAUACCGAUGGCGAAGGCAGCCCCCUGGGACGUCACUGACGCUCAUGCACGAAAGCGUGGGGAGCAAACAGGAUUAGAUACCCUGGUAGUCCACGCCCUAAACGAUGUCAACUAGUUGUUGGGGAUUCAUUUCUUCAGUAACGUAGCUAACGCGUGAAGU
rnacentral:rRNA from 1 species